CAUAGCGGGUAUUGCCUCAGUUACGGCGAGUGAAGCGGCAAAAGCUCAAAUUUGAAAUCUAGCACUUUCAGUGUUCGAGUUGUAAUUUGAAGAAGGUAACUUUGGUUUUGGCUCUUGUCUAUGUUCCUUGGAACAGGACGUCACAGAGGGUGAGAAUCCCGUGCGAUGAGAUGCCCAAUUCCAUGUAAAGUGCUUUCGAAGAGUCGAGUUGUUUGGGAAUGCAGCUCUAAGUGGGUGGUAAAUUCCAUCUAAAGCUAAAUAUUGGCGAGAGACCGAUAGCGAACAAGUACAGUGAUGGAAAGAUGAAAAGAACUUUGAAAAGAGAGUGAAAAAGUACGUGAAAUUGUUGAAAGGGAAGGGCUUGAGAUCAGACUUGGUAUUUUGCGUUCCCUUCCUUUUUGGUUGGGUUCCUCGCAGUUUACUGGGCCAGCAUCGGUUUGGAUGGUAGGAUAAUGACAUUGGAAUGUAGCUUUACUUCGGUGAAGUGUUAUAGACUUUGUUGAUACUGCCUAUCUAGACCGAGGACUGCGUCUUUGACUAGGAUGCUGGCGUAAUGAUCUUAAGCCGCCCGUCUUAACGGGGGGCCCAAAAAAAAAAUAUGUAGUGGUUAAAUAAUACCUUAAUUAAUUUUUCCCCUUCUUUUUUUUGGAAGGCUUUGGGAAAGUGGGGAGCGGGGGGGG
rnacentral:rRNA from 1 species